rnacentral:rRNA from 1 species
UAUCUCUGUAGAGUCUGCAUAUCAAUAAGCGGAGGAAAAGAAACUAACAAGGAUUCCCCUAGUAACGGCGAGUGAAGCGGGGAGAGCUCAAAUUUGAAAUCUUAAAGGGUUUCCCUUUACGAAUUGUAGUUUAAAGAAGUGUUUUCUGUUGGAGUUUCGGUAAAAGUUCUUUGGAAUAGGACAUCAUAGAGGGUGAGAAUCCCGUAUUUGACCGUUACUUUCCAGCUGUGUGAUACACUUUCAAAGAGUCGGAUUGUUUGGGAAUGCAGUCCAAAAUGGGUGGUAAAUUUCAUCUAAAGCUAAAUAUUGGCGAGAGACCGAUAGCGAACAAGUACCGUGAGGGAAAGAUGAAAAGAACUUUGAAAAGAGAGUUAAACAGUACGUGAAAUCGUCAAAAGGGAAGCGUUUGACACCAGUGUUGUUUAGUUGAAAAUCAAUUAAAUAGUUUUCGAUUUUAAGUAGUAUUGACCUUAUCAGCUUGCUGCUUUCUUCUCGGAAAUUAUUUAAUGCUCUUUUCAGUUAACAAGUCAACAUCAAUUUCUUUUGUUGUAAAAAGGUAAGAGGAAGGUGGCUUGCGCUUCGGCUCAAGUGUUUAUAGCCUUUUACUUCUGCAAUCGGAGAGAUUGAGGUCUGCAGCGUAGAUCCUUCGGGGUUAGAUACAUUUGUGCUAAGUUAUAGCCUUGUAUAGACAACUUGUUGACUAUGAUCAGUCAUGUAGCUUACUCGCUUAUGCUAGUUUUACCUACGCUUAGGAUGUUGAUGUGAUACUGCGAGC